CACUACUUCUGGAAUGGGUAAUGACUUAAAUCUAUAUGGCCCCUGGAUUGGACUGCGGCCGAUCAGGCUGUUGGUGAGGUAAUGGCCCACCAAACCUGUAACCGGUACGGGCUCUGAGAGGAGGAGCCCGGAGAUGGGCACUGAGACAAGGGCCCAGGCCCUAUGGGGCGCAGCAGGCGCGAAACCUCUGCAAUAGGCGAAAGCCUGACAGGGUUACUCUGAGUGAUUUCCGUUAAGGAGAUCUUUUGGCACCUCUAAAAAUGGUGCAGAAUAAGGGGUGGGCAAGUCUGGUGUCAGCCGCCGCGGUAAUACCAGCACCCCGAGUGGUCGGGACGUUUAUUGGGCCUAAAGCAUCCGUAGCCGGUUCUACAAGUCUUCCGUUAAAUCCACCUGCUUAACAGAUGGGCUGCGGAAGAUACUAUGGAGCUAGGAGGCGGGAGAGGCAAGCGGUACUCGAUGGGUAGGGGUAAAAUCCGUUGAUCCAUUGAAGACCACCAGUGGCGAAGGCGGCUUGCCAGAACGCGCUCGACGGUGAGGGAUGAAAGCUGGGGGAGCAAACCGGAUUAGAUACCCGGGUAGUCCCAGCUGUAAACGAUGCAGACUCGGUGAUGAAUUGGCUUCAUGCCAAUUCAGUGCCGCAGGGAAGCCGUCAAGUUUGCCGCCUGGGGAGUACGGUCGCAAGACUGAAACUUAA
rnacentral:rRNA from 1 species